rnacentral:rRNA from 1 species
UACGUAGGGGGCAAGCGUUGUCCGGAUUUAUUGGGCGUAAAGAGCGUGUAGGCGGCUUGGUAGGUCCGCUGUGAAAACUCGAGGCUCAACCUCGAGACGCCGGUGGAAACCAUCAGGCUAGAGUCCGGAAGAGGAGAGUGGAAUUCCUGGUGUAGCGGUGAAAUGCGCAGAUAUCAGGAAGAACACCCGUGGCUAAGGCGGCUCUCUAGUACGGUACUGACGCUGAGACGCGAAAGCGUGGGGGAGCGAACAGG